rnacentral:rRNA from 1 species
GAUGAACGCUGGCGGCGUGCCUAAUACAUGCAAGUCGAGCGAACAGACGAGGAGCUUGCUCCUCUGACGUUAGCGGCGGACGGGUGAGUAACACGUGGAUAACCUACCUAUAAGACUGGGAUAACUUCGGGAAACCGGAGCUAAUACCGGAUAAUAUAUUGAACCGCAUGGUUCAAUAGUGAAAGACGGUUUUGCUGUCACUUAUAGAUGGAUCCGCGCCGCAUUAGCUAGUUGGUAAGGUAACGGCUUACCAAGGCGACGAUCCGUAGCCGACCUGAGAGGGUGAUCGGCCACACUGGAACUGAGACACGGUCCAGACUCCUACGGGAGGCAGCAGUAGGGAAUCUUCCGCAAUGGGCGAAAGCCUGACGGAGCAACGCCGCGUGAGUGAUGAAGGUCUUCGGAUCGUAAAACUCUGUUAUUAGGGAAGAACAAAUGUGUAAGUAACUAUGCACGUCUUGACGGUACCUAAUCAGAAAGCCACGGCUAACUACGUG